UUACCUUUAGCAACAAAAAAUAAAGCUUUUGAAGUGUAGCUCGUUAUGUCACGUGUUAGUCUGGCACAUGGACAUCUUGGUAUGGGAGCACAAAAUCACAUGACCUGGACCAUGACCCACCAGACUGUUCAGUGUGUGUCACUUAGGGACUUCAUGAGAUAACAUAAAGGCUAAAGCUGUAUAAGGAACUUUCCAGAACAUUUAAAGUUCAGUGACACCCGUGUCACGGUGGGUCCUUAUGGUCUAUGGUGUUCUGA